rnacentral:rRNA from 1 species
CCAGCAGCCGCGGUAAUUCCAGCUCCAAUAGCGUAUAUUAAAGUUGUUGCAGUUAAAAAGCUCGUAGUUGAAUUUCGGGAUGAUCAGGUUGGUCGUGCCAUUGGUAUGUACUAGCUUUGGUGGUUCCUACCUCUUGAAGAACCGUAAUGUCAUUAACUUGGUGUUGCGGGGAAUCAGGACUGUUACUUUGAAAAAAUUAGAGUGUUUAAAGCAGGCAAACGCUUGAAUACAUUAGCAUGGAAUAAUGAAAUAGGACGUUUGAUCUUAUUUUGUUGGUUUCUAGGAUCGACGUAAUGAUUAAUAGGGAUAGUUGGGGGCAUUAGUAUUCAAUUGUCAGAGGUGAAAUUCUUGGAUUUAUUGAAGACUAACUACUGCGAAAGCAUUUGCCAAGGAUGUUUUCAUUAAUCAAGAACGAAAGUUAGGGGAUCGAAGACGAUCAGAUACCGUCGUAGUCUUAACCAUAAACUAUGCCGACUAGGGAUCGGAUGAUGUUAAUUUUUUAAUGACUCA